UACGAAGGGGGCUAGCGUUGCUCGGAAUUACUGGGCGUAAAGCGCACGUAGGCGGCUCUUUAAGUCGGGGGUGAAAUCCUGGAGCUCAACUCCAGAACUGCCUUCGAAACUGAGGAGCUCGAGUCCGGGAGAGGUGAGUGGAACUGCGAGUGUAGAGGUGAAAUUCGUAGAUAUUCGCAAGAACACCAGUGGCGAAGGCGGCUCACUGGCCCGGUACUGACGCUGAGGUGCGAAAGCGUGGGGAGCAAACAGG
rnacentral:rRNA from 2 species